rnacentral:rRNA from 1 species
GAUUAACGCUAGCGGCAGGCCUAAUACAUGCAAGUCGAACGGCAGCACGGGUAGCAAUACCUGGUGGCGAGUGGCGCACGGGUGCGUAACGCGUAUGCAAUCUACCUGUAACUGGGGAAUAGCCUUCCGAAAGGAAGAUUAAAACCGCAUAAUAUCACGAGACGGCAUCGUUUUGUGAUCAAAUCUCCGGAGGUUACAGAUGAGCAUGCGUGACAUUAGCUAGUUGGUGAGGUAACGGCUCACCAAGGCGACGAUGUCUAGGGGGUCUGAGAGGAUGAUCCCCCACACU